AAUGUACUCCCUCCGUCCGAAAAUACUUGUCAUCAAAAUGGACAAAAAUGAAUGUAUCUAAAACAAAAAUACAUCAAAAUACAUCCCCUUUUAUUCGUUUUGAUGACAAGUAUUUCUGGAUGAAGGGAGUAGUAC
rfam:Triticum aestivum genome assembly, contig: Triticum_aestivum_CS42_TGACv1_scaffold_273182_3DS